rnacentral:tRNA from 2 species
GCGGCGGUAGUCUAGCCUGGUUUAGGAUGGCGGCCUUCCAAGCCGUUGAUCCCGGGUUCGAAUCCCGGCCGCCGCACCA